rnacentral:rRNA from 1 species
UACGUAGGUGGCGAGCGUUGUCCGGAUUUACUGGGCGUAAAGGGAGCGUAGGCGGACUUUUAAGUGAGAUGUGAAAUACUCGGGCUCAACUUGAGUGCUGCAUUUCAAACUGGAAGUCUAGAGUGCAGGAGAGGGGAAUGGAAUUCCUAGUGUAGCGGUGAAAUGCGUAGAGAUUAGGAAGAACACCAGUGGCGAAGGCGAUUCUCUGGACUGUAACUGACGCUGAGGCUCGAAAGCGUGGGGAGCAAACAGG